rnacentral:rRNA from 1 species
UACGGAGGGGGCUAGCGUUGUUCGGAAUUACUGGGCGUAAAGCGCGCGUAGGCGGGCUUGAAAGUUGAUUGUGAAAGCCCUGGGCUUAACCCGGGAAUGGCAGUCAAAACUACAAGUCUUGAGUGCCUGAGAGGAUGGCGGAAUUCCCGGUGUAGUAGUGAAAUACGUAGAUAUCGGGAAGAACACCUGAGGCGAAGGCGGCUAUCUGGCGGUGCACUGACGCUGAGGCGCGAAAGCGUGGGGAGCAAACAGG